rnacentral:rRNA from 1 species
AACGAACGCUGGCGGCAUGCCUAACACAUGCAAGUCGAACGCUCUCGGGGCUUUGGUCUCGGGGGAGUGGCGCACGGGUGAGUAGCGCGUGGGAACCUGCCCUUUAGUGGGGGAUAACCGAGGGAAACUUCGGCUAAUACCGCAUACGCCCCGGGGCGUGGUCUUCGGAUCAGGCUGUGGGGGAAAGAUUGAUCGCUAAAGGAGGGGCCCGCGUCGGAUUAGCUGGUUGGUGGGGUAACGGCUCACCAAGGCGAUGAUCCGUAGCUGGUCUGAGAGGAUGAUCAGCCACACUGGGACUGAGACACGGCCCAGACUCCUACGGGAGGCAGCAGUGGGGAAUAUUGGACAAGUGGGCGCAAGCCUGAUCCAGCAAUGCCGCGUGAGUGA